CCUACGGGAGGCAGCAGUGAGGAAUAUUGGUCAAUGGUCGGGAGACUGAACCAGCCAAGCCGCGUGAGGGAUGAAGGUACAGAGUAUCGUAAACCUCUUUUGUCAGGGAACAAAGGCGGGGACGUGUCCCCGGAUGCGUGUACCUGAAGAAAAAGCAUCGGCUAACUCCGUGCCAGCAGCCGCGGUAAUACGGAGGAUUCGAGCGUUAUCCGGAUUUAUUGGGUUUAAAGGGUGCGCAGGGGGUCUGUUAAGUCAGCGGUGAAAGGCCCGGGCUCAACCCCCGCCCGGCAGUUGAAACUGGCAGUCUCGAGUUGGAGUGAAGUAUGCGGAAUGCGCGGUGUAGCGGUGAAAUGCAUAGAUAUCGCGCAGAACUCCGAUUGCGAAGGCAGCAUGCCGGCUCCACACUGACGCUGAGGCACGAAAGCGUGGGUAUCGAACAGGAUUAGAUACCCGAGUAGUC
rnacentral:rRNA from 1 species